rnacentral:rRNA from 1 species
UACGGAGGGUGCAAGCGUUGUCCGGAUUUAUUGGGUUUAAAGGGUGCGUAGGCGGCUUUUUAAGUCAGUGGUGAAAUACAGCAGCUCAACUGUUGAGGUGCCAUUGAUACUGAGAGGCUUGAGUACAGAUGAGGUAGGCGGAAUUUAUGGUGUAGCGGUGAAAUGCAUAGAUACCAUAAAGAACACCGAUUGCGAAGGCAGCUUACUAGCUGUAACUGACGCUGAGGCACGAAAGCGUGGGGAGCGAACAGG